GGGCCUAUAGCUAAGUUGGUUAGAACGCACGCCUGAUAAGCGUUAGAUAAUGGUUAGGCCCACCA
rnacentral:tRNA from 1 species